UCAAUAAUUGAUCUCUUCAUUUACUAGUCUAGGUGUAUAGUUAUCCCACGUCUUUAUAAGGACAAGAUCCCAAAGCAUUUUCCGUACAACUGCUAUAAUUGAUUUUGUUUUCUCAAAGCUUACACUGUUUAUAGUUUGAUUACCUGCGCAGCAAAAUGACACUCUUCGGUAAGAUGGAGGCUGAAGUAGAGAUCAAAGUUUCUGCGGAAACAUUUCAUGAUAUCUUCAGCUGCAGACCACACCACAUUUCCAAUAUGAGCCCUGCCAAGAUACAGAACGUUGAUCUCCAUGAAGGUGAAUGGGGGAAGCCGGGCACUGUAAUCUGCUGGAGUUAUGUACAUGGUAAGGCUGUGUCGUCAUAGAUCAUCCCUGACCGAAAACAUAUAUAUUAAGGAUUGCACUGCUCCUUAAUCAUAUAUAUAUAUAUAUAAAUAUAUGAUUACUAACAAUAAGUUUACAUCAUAAUUAGUCUACAAUUUUGUUUAUUUCUUAGAUGGCUUAUAGCAUGAGGAAGUGACUUGGGUUAUUUUUGUAUACGCUCGAUUUGAUCAUUAAUUCUCGAUCAGCUAUGAUCAAUCCAUUGUUGUAGAAAUUUUAUGACUUUCUGGUUGAUGAAAGGUUAACCUCAUAUACAUUUUCAGAAACAAAUUAUUAUUAAGAGUAGGAUGACAUAUCAAGGCAGUGAUUCAUGACUGACGUUUAAUUUAUUUUUUAUGCAAAAAAAUUAAUAGAUGGGGUUGCGAAGACUGCGAAGGAGGUUAUUGAAGCUAUAGACGAUGAGAAGCUGUCAACUACCUUCAAAGUGAUUGAAGGAGAAUUUCAUAAUUCUUUCACCUUGUCAAUCACAAGUCGGAAUCUUCAUUUGCCCCUUGAAAAAAGCUCACGCUAUCUCAUCUAAAUUAUUUGACGUCCCUUCGUUAAGAUAAGGUCUUAGAAAAGAAUGGAGGGCUGAUAAUUACAAAGUCUAGGCCUAGUAAUUACGAAGUCCUCUUUUUUAUUGCCAUCCCUGCACCAAUCAUAUCAUUCAAUAGCAUACCCAAGUGGUUGACGGUUUUAUUCUCUGAAUCAACAUGAAAGAUUGUUAAGUUAUUGUGCUCUCCUUUUCUUCCGAGCUCUAAUACUAAUGGUUAGAAAAUUAAAAUACACAAGUUUCUGAACCUAUAAUGGUUGAAAACUAAAACACACUAGUAUUUGAACUCCCAAGCUUUUAUUUAUUGAUAUUCAAUCCUCUUGAAUUUCGCAUACAUUAAUCGACCCAUAUAUUUACAAAUAGAUUGUAACAUCUUGCUAUCAUAAUCUAAUAAAUUUAUAAUUAACUAGUUAAACAAAGAUUAUGAAUACAAAUCAUGUUUAAUCUAGGGAACCGUUUCUCAUCUCGAUAAAAAACAUUGCACAUUUUGAAGGGUUCUAUCCGAAUUGUACCCUCUUUUUUAUUCUUUGCAAGAUAUGAUGUUGUUUAGAAAACUUAACGUUUUCUAUAUAAAAAAAAAAUCUGGUAGGUUUCAAUUGAAAAAUCAAAAUUGUUUGGAGAUAAAUUAAUACAAAAAAUCGUUUGAGGACAAAAUUGAUGCCAAGGGGCAUUUUUAAGGUUUGCGCUUUUUUUUUUUUUGUGUGUGAAUGUCAAGUUCAGGUUAACUGGAGUGCUGUUUUCUUGACUGCAAAACAGAACCAAUCAACGACGCAGCUAAUUCUGAAGAUCAAAGUAAAUGGAGGAAUAGCAAGUACAUAACCAUGAUCAAUUUCCGAGAUCGUUAAAUGGUCUUUGAAUUUCAGAGAUAAGAAAUUAUCUUUAAGCUCUUGGAAUUUAAUGUUUUUUUUUUUUUUUUUACAUUAGUCCGUAUGUCUUGAAGCCAACACAAUAAUCCCUAGAGUCUUACUGCGUGGUUAAAUUAACAGGUCCCAACGUGGCCUGUAGUUUGACUCUCUCUCUUGUUUCUUCAGCUAAAUAUAUGUGCUUAAUUAGCACUAAAACCAGACCUAGGAACGCAAUCGUAUUUCGAUGAAAAAGAAGACGAGAUCUGAAUGAUUCGGCAGAAGAUUUCACUCGAAAGCUUUUGUAUUACAUUCAAAAUACAUCAUUAAUUUGAUUACUUGGUCGUAGUUAAGGCAACAAUCAAGGAUUUAUAACAAUUAUGAUCCUAAGAUUAGCUUUUUACCUUAAAGAAGCGAAUAGCAUCAUUAUUCACUUCAUAGCAAAUCAUUUUUAAGUGAUCGUAAAGGACAUUUAUUAAUUAUUUCAUGAAAUUAACCCGUGUUUUUUCUUUUCUUUUCUAAUUUAACUCAUUCUCCCACAUACCAGUUAUUAAUAAUACUUUCGUCGUACUAAAUUCAUCAUCAAAUUCUCUCAUCCAUGCGAAGAACUAAUCUUGAAGCCUCCAUUGUAGGAUCUUUAAAUCACAAAAGAAAUUAUAAUUGCCGGGAAAAACAGAACUUUAAAUGGUGGGAUAUUAGUUAUAUCGCCACUAUCAUUGUCACUCUCUAUACAGACCAUCAAUAUAUUGGCCACUUAUUAUUUCCUUUUUGUUUUCUAUAUGAUCUAUCACAUUAAAUUAUCACAAUAUAUCUUGGAUUUGGCAAAUCCUAGUGACAGUGACAUUAUAGUGACAGUGACAUUAAAUUAUCACGAGCCUUGCAUUUUUUGCAUGAGCUGUACAAUAUCGAUUAUAAUAAGUUUGAAGAUUUUUCUUUAAAAAAAUCUAUUUGGUAGGGAUUGCAUGGAUUUUACAUGUUUUUUUAUUGGAGAUGAAUUCGCUGAGAAAGGAACACGGUAAUGGAAUAGAUAGACGGAAAAUUGCAAACGUUUUGCACGUUUGUUGAAAUUUUGGAAGUUUCUUGAGACUCUACUCGGCUUCAAAAUCUUGAUGAGUUCUUGUUGGAUAAUAUAUCAGCCUUUGAUGAUUCAUAUGAUUUUCUAAAUAAAAAAAUGACUCAAAUGAAAAUAAAAAGAAAAAUAAUAUAUUAAAUUUGUGGGGAUGUAACUAAUUUUUUUUUAAAAAAACAUAGUUUAUUAAGGAUACUAAGAGCGCAACACUCGAUAAAAAGGAAAACCUAACGAAUGCUCCAAUGUUAAUUAUUAAUCCCAACUACUUUUCAAUGCUUAAUAUUCUAUUCAAUUUUCUGUUGAAGAUAAUGCAUUCCAAUUAUUUUCGAGUAUUACUAUUACCCACACAAAAUCAACGGAAAUGACAGGCACGCAAAAUAUGUCUUGUAAUCUACCAACUCCAUUGCUAAUUCACAAAUCAAAACAGUUACAGAACACAUGCAAGCCAGCUGUAAGCAGAAACUGAGUGGCUAGCACACAAAGACAAGUCAGCCAAAUACUAUUUUACCGGCUUUGUUGACUUUUUAUAAAUUUCUUAACAGUUAAAAUACUUUUUUUUCUUCCCCAAAAUCAAAAGUUUAUUGGGCUACUGGUCAGAGAUGUUAUGAUUCAUGUACAGUGGAAGCAUGCUUUUAACCUUAGAAAAGAUAUAUAAACAAUAAACUGGUUUUGUGGAUAUUUUUGUAUUUUUAUACAGAUAUUUUAUGUAAUUAAUAUAUUUGUAGCAUUUUAGUAUUUUUAUAUUUUAUUUUUAUUUUUUAUUCAUAAAUAUGUUAGAGCGUGUUUCAAACACAUUAGUAAAUUAGUAAAUAAAUGAUGUUCUAGCCAUUUAAGGUGCGUGUGACACCAUUCGAUAGUUAAAUUUAACUAUUCACUAUCUCACUGUAUACAUAAUUAUCUUCUUUUUUAUAUAAUGUGGCAUAUUUAGGCGUGUGAUGGUUGAAUUAUAGCAGGUGGUUGUUUGUUUUUUUUCUCUCUCUCUAUCUCUUGAUAACUAAUGUAUAUCAUUGUUCUUUUUGUUAUUUAAUUUUCAAUUUUAAUCAUUAUUUUUUUAAUUUUUAAUUUUGUUUUUAUUCUUUUUAUAUAAGUUUUUUUUCUUUCAAUCUAGUCAUUCAAUUACAAUUUCUCAUGUGUUUUGUUUUUCAUUUCAAUCCUCAUUCUUUUAAUUUCUUAUUUUUAUUUAUUUUAUAAUUUUUUUUUAAAAUUUAGUCCUUCAAUUAUAAUUUAUGUAUAUUAUAUUUUUCAUUUCAGUCAUUCUACUUUUAAAUUUAUGGUUUUUAAUUUUAUUUUUCAAACCAAGUUUAUGAUUUUUGUUGUUUCAAUAAUAAUAAUAAUGGUUACAAUGAUAAUAAUACUAAUAAUAAAAAUAAUAAUAAUAAUUAUUAAUGAUAGUAAUAAUAGUAGUAAUUAUAAUAAUAACGAUAAAACAGUAAUAAUUAUAAUAAUAAUGAUGAUAAUUCAUCAUUCGAUGUAAAAUUUGUUUAGAAUUGAGUUUUAUUAUUUUUUCGUGCAUGAUAGUUUCAAUCUAAUAUCUCGAGCUACUGUUUUAAAAAGUUUGUGUAGCUUGAUGUUCUCUUUUAUUUUUUAUAUUUUUUUAAUUUAUCGUUUAACGUUAGCUUUUUAAAAUAAAAAAAGGUCUUCUAAAAUUCUUUUAUAUAUUUUAUUGGAAACCCGUGCAAGGUAAAAGAUCCAAAAUAAAAGAUUUAAAAGUUUAUCUUGCAUUGCAUAAUAAUUAUUUUACUCUUGAUAAUUGUAUUUUUUUUUUUACGUUUUAAAACAAUGGUUCAGCCAGCAGCAAAUCACUAGAACGUAAAAUAGUAUUACAUCAUUUUUUUAGUUAUACCCUUUUUGCAGUUUGCACGGUCAAGGCGUCAGACCUCGUUAAAAGCACUCAAAACCCACCCUUUUUACUGUAUUCCACGUCAAAUUAGUCUCAACAUUGAGAGAAUUAUUUGAAACAUUAGCCAAUUUAUCUUUGUUUCCCUCUUCAAGUUUUAUCAAAAAUUGAAUUAGGGUGGUUCCAGUUAGAGCCGGCCAGGGCAUAUAGGUAAUUUAGGUAAUGGUUCAAUACCCUCACUUAACAAAAAAAUCCCUCAAGAAUAAGUGAAAUAUAUUUAUUAAUUAUAUUUUAUGAAAUAAAAAUUACCUCAACUUAACAAAAGACUCUAAUAUAUAAAAUGAAGAUUUCUCAAUUCCCUACUUGUCAGAUAUACAUAAAAAAAAUAUAUCUUAAAAUUUUAAAAAGUUUUAUUUAUAAUUUUGCCUGAUAUCCAUAUUCACCUUAAAUCGAUUCUAAUUUAAGUUACGAUGGACAUAGAAGGAAUGGAUAAAGUGGUGUUCAAGUAUGUGUUCGGAAUGGUGCAGGAGAGAGAACAUGGGUCAUGAAAGUUUCGAGUCAUUGGUUAUAAUGAUAGAUUUCUAAUUUUUAGGCUUGCUUUUAAAGUAAAAGAAUAUUUUUCUCUUUAAAUUUUUUUCCUUUUAAAAUAUUUUUAAUUUUAUUUUUCUUCUUAUGCUUGUUUCAAUAUUUUAUGCUUGUUUCUAGAUAGGGAGAUCAAAUAAAUUUCUAAUUAUUAUUAGUUAUUUAAAAUAUCAUUUAUUUUGUGGACAAGCUUGUCCCUCUAACUUAAAUGCCAUACCUGCACAUAUAAUUUCGCAAUAAAUUAUUGCCGACUCCUAUUAAUUAUUUAAACUUCUCAAUUGUUUCCCCUGUUGUCUUCAAGCUGCAUGUAUAGGCCAUAAAACAUAAUGUACUUGUUCCUACUAAUUGACUGUACUUGUUCCUACUAAUUGACCUCUCACUGAACUCCAAUUUCGUGUUAUAUAAGCUGUACUAUUUUCUAUGUAUAAAUAAAAUUCAAGUUCAAGAAUUUUGAAUAAUAAUUGAAAUAUUAAUAUCCAUUGAGCUACAGCCUAUUGACGUAUCUCUGCUGUGUCAAUUUAUUAGUGUUGGGCUGCAUUCGUGCCAAACAUGCAAAUCGACAAAGCACACAUGCAUGAUUUCCACAAAGACGGUGUAAAAUCAUGAUUUUUUUUUCAUAUCAUCUUAAAUUGACAUUUUGAUGUAGGAUAUGUAUAAUAUAUUUAGAAAAUAAAUAAAUUAUAUUUUAAUACUUCACUUAACAAUUUAAGUUUUUGAAUUGAAUUAAUUUUUUAAUAAAUUAUUGAAACCUUGAUAAUCAAACAGUCACGAGUUUAAAUUUUACCAUAUUUAUUUAUUAGAUAAAAAUUAAACACAAAAUAAUAUGAAUUUAUUCAAGUUUUAAAUCAAAAUAAUAUAACAACGUUGGGUCUAUUACCAUGCCAAACCCUGGCAUAGAAAGCAAUGCUUCCAGCAACAAUGUUUGACCAAAAACACAACUAAGAAACGGCUUCCAGGUUGCUACAAUGUUGUCGACGUUGAAAGUAAUUUAUGCCUACAAUACCGUCUACAGUAUAAUGUGUUUAUGACACGCACAAGGCAACACCCUCAACCACAAAUCUUGAUUAAAAACAUAGUAGAGAAAUGCUCAUUUCUGGCGCUAUAAUGUUGUUCAUAGUACAAAUAUUUUAAGUCUAUAAUAUCAUUCAUAUUGCGAAAGCAAAUAUACAAGUACACAAUUAAAUGUCUGUUGAUGUAUGAUGCAUGUACAGUAGAAAUCCCACAACAAUGCAAAAGUAACAGUACAAGUUCACAAUUAACUGGCUCUUGAUGUACAGUAUAUGCAUAUACAAUAAAAUUAAUUGUGUUUUUUGUUCACAGUGCAUUUAUGAAUAGUAGAAAUCUAAAAUAUCUUAGAGUUUUGUGAAUGUAAUUAUCCCACGUAGGGAAAGAAUUGAUCUCAUCAUUUACUAGUCUAGGUGUAUAAUUAUCCCACGUCUUUAUAAGGAUAUGAUCCCAAAGCAUUUUUGAUAUCUCAAAGCUUACCUGUUUAUAGUUUGAUUACCUGCGCAGCAAAAUGACACUCUUCGGUAAGAUGGAGGCUGAAGUAGAGGUCAAAGUUUCUGCUGAAACAUUUCAUGAUAUCUUCAGCUGCAGACCACACCACAUUUCCAAUAUGAGCCCUGCCAAGAUACAGAAUGUUGAUCUCCACG
rnacentral:lncRNA from 1 species